GGAUUASAUACCCUGGUAUCCACGCCGUAAACGAUGUCACUACCGUUGGGAUCCUUGAAUCUUAGUGGCGCAGCUAACGCGAUAAGUCACCGCCUGGGGAGUACGGCCGCAAGGUUAAAACUCAAAUGAAUUGACGGGGGCCCGCACAAGCGGGGAGAUGUGGUUUAAUUCAAGCAACGCGAAAACCUUACCUGGCCUUGACAUGUCCGGAAUCUUGCAAGAUGCGAGAGUGCCUUCGGGAAUCGGAACACAGGUGCUGCAUGGYUGUCUCAGCUCGUGUCGGAGAUGUUGGGUUAAGUCCCGUAACGAGCGCAACCCUUGUCCUUAGUACCAGCACGUAUGGUGGGCACUCUAAGGAGACUGCCGGUGACAAACCGGAGGAAGGUGGGGAUGACGUCAAGUCAUCAUGGCCCUUACGGCGGGCUACACACGUGCUACAAUGGUCGGUACGAGGGUUGCCAAGCCGCGAGGUGGAGCUAAUCCCAUAAAACCGAUCGUAGUCCGGAUCGCAGUCUGCAACUCUACUGCGUGAAGUCGGAAUCSCUAGUAAUCGUGAAUCCAAAUGUCACGGGAAUACGUUCCCGGGCCUUGUACACACCGCCCGUCACACCAU
rnacentral:rRNA from 1 species